UACGGGGGGGGCCAGCGUUGUUCGGACUUACUGGGCGUAAAGGGCUUGUAGGUGGCCAACUAAGUCAGACGUGAAAUCCCUCGGCUUAACCGGGGAACUGCGUCUGAUACUGGAUGGCUUGAGUGUGGGAGAGGGAUGCGGAAUUCCAGGUGUAGCGGUGAACUGCGUAGAUAUCUGGAGGAACACCGGUGGCGAAGGCGGCAUCCUGGACCAUUACUGACACUGAAAAGCGAAAGCCAGGGGAGCAAACGGG
rnacentral:rRNA from 1 species